CCUACGGGAGGCAGCAGUGAGGAAUAUUGGUCAAUGGACGCAAGUCUGAACCAGCCAUGCCGCGUGAAGGAAGACGGCUCUAUGAGUUGUAAACUGCUUUUGUACGAGGGUAAAGGCAGAUACGCGUAUCUGUCUGAAUGUAUCGUAUGAAUAAGGAUCGGCUAACUCCGUGCCAGCAGCCGCGGUAAUACGGAGGAUUCGAGCGUUAUCCGGAUUUAUUGGGUUUAAAGGGAGCGUAGGCGGGCUGUUAAGUUAGAGGUGAAAGCCCGCGGCUCAACCGCGGAAUUGCAGUUGAUACUGUCCGUCUUGAGAAUAGUUGCGGUAGGCGGAAUUCAUGGUGUAGCGGUGAAAUGCUUAGAGAUCAUGCAGAACACCGAUUGCGAAGGCAGCUUACUAAGCUACUACUGACGUUGAGGCACGAAAGCGUGGGGAGCAAACAGGAUUAGAUACCCUAGUAGUC
rnacentral:rRNA from 1 species